rnacentral:rRNA from 1 species
UACGUAGGGUGCGAGCGUUGUCCGGAAUUAUUGGGCGUAAAGAGCUCGUAGGCGGUCUGUCGCGUCGAUCGUGAAAAACUUGGGGCUUAACCCUGAGCUUGCGGUCGAUACGGGCAUGACUGGAGUUCGGCAGGGGAGACUGGAAUUCCUGGUGUAGCGGUGAAAUGCGCAGAUAUCAGGAGGAACACCGGUGGCGAAGGCGGGUCUCUGGGCCGAUACUGACGCUGAGGAGCGAAAGCGUGGGGAGCGAACAGG